ensembl:snRNA U2 U2 spliceosomal RNA
UUGUCAUCUCAGCCUUAUGGUUAAAAUCAAGUAUAGUAUCUGUUCUGAUCAAUUUAAUGUCUGAUAUGUUUUUUAUCUGAAGACAAUAUAUUAAAUUUUGAAAGUACUCUAA